GAUGAACGCUGGCGGCGUGCCUAAUACAUGCAAGUCGAGCGAACAGACGAGGAGCUUGCUCCUCUGACGUUAGCGGCGGACGGGUGAGUAACACGUAGAUAACCUACCUAUAAGACUGGGAUAACUUCGGGAAACCGGCGCUAAUACCGGAUAAUAUAUUGAACCGCAUGGUUCAAUAGUGAAAGACGGUUUUGCUGUCACUUAUAGAUGGAUCCGCGCCGCAUUAGCUAGUUGGUAAGGUAACGGCUUACCAAGGCGACGAUGCGUAGCCGACCUGAGAGGGUGAUCGGCCACACUGGAACUGAGACACGGUCCAGACUCCUACGGGAGGCAGCAGUAGGGAAUCUUCCGCAAUGGGCGAAAGCCUGACGGAGCAACGCCGCGUGAGUGAUGAAGGUCUUCGGAUCGUAAAACUCUGUUAUUAGGGAAGAACAAAUGUGUAAGUAACUAUGCACGUCUUGACGGUACCUAAUCAGAAAGCCACGGCUAACUACGUG
rnacentral:rRNA from 1 species